AGUGUUUACCUGGCCGAUCUGUCAUGUAAGGUUAUGAGAAAAAGGUGAGUAUAUAACAGACGAUAUCUGAAAGGUACGACACUCACUUCUCACCGCUAGAAUCACAUCAGACCACCUUGGGAAAAUCAACUUCUGACCACUCCACAUCCUCAAAAUGAAGUCUGCUGUUGUCCUGAUGCUGUGCGCCGUGCUGGCCAUCACCUCCGCCAGCUUCUACCCUGGUUACGGCCUCGGUCUUGGUGGAUUGGGGGGUCUGGGUGGAAUUGGAGGUCUAGGUGGAUUUGGACUUGGUGGACUUGGACUUGGUGGACUAGGCUUUGGCGGUGGACUUGGCCUCGGUAGAUUCGGCCUGCUGGGCGGUGGUCUUUACGGAGGCUUCAAGGGCGGCUUGUACUACUGAUUGCAGUACAUCUUUCCUUCAAAGUGGUCAUAAUGUGGUCAUUACCGGUGAAUCGUUUUCUUGAUUUGCACUAAUUUCUUCAUGUGGAACCAAUAAAAUGUCAUCAAAAACAUAA